AAGAAAUUCAUGUUGUGCAUUCUGUAUUUCAAGUUGUCAAACUUUUCUCAAUAGUGUUCAACCGGCCACUGAGUUUUGGUGUCGUGAAAAAGUGGUCGAGAGGGAGAAUCCCAGUAUAGCUGCAGGCGAAACCAGGCCCGACAUUUCUGAAGAAGACGGGGAAGGGCCCGACCGACUACGUGCUCACGUGUAUUCCGACCGACUCAUGCAGCUAAAAAUCUGGUGCUAACAUCAUGACCAAAGAGACCCUGCUGGUCGAAAAACAUACUGCAAUGGAGGGAUCUCCAAUACCUAC